UUGACCUCGAAUCAGGUAGGAAUACCCGCUGAACUUAAGCAUAUCAAUAAGCGGAGGAAAAGAAACCAACCGGGAUUACCUCAGUAACGGCGAGUGAAGCGGUAACAGCUCAAAUUUGAAAUCUGGCUCCUUCGGAGUCCGAGUUGUAAUUUGUAGAAGAUGCUUUGGGUUGUGGGCUCGGCCUAAGUUCCUUGGAACAGGACGUCAUAGAGGGUGAGAAUCCCGUAUGUGGCCAUGGCCCGCGCCUAUGUAAAGCUCUUUCGACGAGUCGAGUUGUUUGGGAAUGCAGCUCAAAAUGGGUGGUAAAUUUCAUCUAAAGCUAAAUAUGGGCCAGAGACCGAUAGCGCACAAGUAGAGUGAUCGAAAGAUGAAAAGCACUUUGGAAAGAGAGUUAAACAGUACGUGAAAUUGUUGAAAGGGAAGCGCUUGCAACCAGACUUGGGCGCUGCCGAUCACCCCGAGUUCUCUCGGGUGCACUCGACAGCGCACAGGCCAGCAUCGGUUCGGGUGGCUGGAUAAAGNCCGUAGGAAUGUAGCUCUCUUCGGGGAGUGUUAUAGCCCACGGUGCCAUGCAGCCCAGCCGGACCGAGGACCGCGCCUUCGGGCUAGGAUGCUGGCGUAAUGGUUGUAAGCGACCCGUCUUGAAACACGGACCAAGGAGUCUAACAUCUAUGCGAGUGUUUGGGCGUUAAANCCAUACGCGGAAUGAAAGUGAACGUAGGUGAGAACCCCUUUGGGGCGCAUCAUCGACCGAUCC
rnacentral:rRNA from 1 species